rnacentral:sRNA from 1 species
AUGCUGGCCUGGCUGCUAACUUGCUUGACAAAAGCAGAAUUGCUCGAAGGUUUUCUGCUGGGUCCUUGUUUGGAACACGAAAUGCUGUCGCAAAGUCGACACGGACACAGCAACCAUUCAUAGGUUUGGAGGUUACGCUCGCUGAGUCCUUUUGCACAACUCAUUUUGCACAAUGGGACCUCACCCUCCUUGCUGCAGCAGGUUGAUAGGAAAAAUCCCAAAGCGGUUCUUCCUCUGAACAACUUAUUCAACAUAGUGGCAAUUUCUGCAUCUGCAGAGCAUUACUGGGAGAACACCGCAAAUCUGGACAGUCAUACGUCCACAUUUUGCAUCAGCUAAUACGGUCAAAAUCAUCUUGCCGAACACUUGAAAUUGUGAUGUCCUGGAUGAUUUCUACAUCUUUGAAAAAAAAAAAACAUGACCCAUACAAGAGUCUUUCUCCCUCAAACAAUCAGAUGGAAAGGAGAUGGAAAGAAAAAGCGCAAGAAGGAUAUAGAUGAGA